UACGUAGGGGGCAAGCGUUGUCCGGAAUCAUUGGGCGUAAAGAGCGCGUAGGCGGCCCUGUAAGUCCGCUGUGAAAGUCAAGGGCCCAACCCUUGAAUGCCGGUGGAUACUGCAGGGCUAGAGUCCGGAAGAGGCGAGUGGAAUUCCGGGUGUAGCGGUGGAAUGCGUAGAGAUCCGGAAGAACACCAGUGGCGAAGGCGGCUCGCUGGGCAGUGGCUGACGCUGAGGCGCGACAGCGUGGGGAGCAAACAGG
rnacentral:rRNA from 1 species